AGUGUCAUUGUAAUCUCACACUCUCUGAUGCUUGCAUUAGGAGUGGUGGACUUGGGUGUUGCCGCUUCACGGUGGCUCACCUCAAAUGCAGUAGUGCACCUCCUGGUUGGACAUAGUACGGCGUGAUAAGUGUCUUCGCCGGCGCCUCGAAAGAGGGUGGCCGAUUGGGAGCUCUGGGCUUCUAACUGUCUUAGGACACUCUCUGACAACUUGACCUCAAAUCGAGUAGGACUACCCGCUGAACUUAAGCAUAUCAAUAAGCGGAGGAAAAGAAACUAACAAGGAUUCCCCUAGUAACGGCGAGUGAAGAGGGAAGAGCUCAAAUUUUGAAUCUGGCGUCUUUGGCGUCCGAAUUGUAAUCUAGAGAAGUGUUUUCCGCAAUGGACCGUGCACAAGUCUCCUGGAAUGGAGCGUCAUAGAGGGUGAGAAUCCCGUAUAUGGCACGGACUGCCGUUGCUCUGCGAUACACUCUCAACGAGUCGAGUUGUUUGGGAAUGCAGCUCCAAAUGGGUGGUAAAUGCCAUCUAAAGCUAAAUAUUGGCGAGAGACCGAUAGCGAACAAGUACCGUGAGGGAAAGAUGAAAAGCACUUUGGAAAGAGAGUGAAACAGUACGUGAAAUUGUUGAAAGGGAAACACUUGAAGUCAGUCGCGCCGUUCGGGACUCAGCCUUGCUUCUGCUUGGUUUACUUCCCGUUGGGUGGGUCAACAUCAGUUUUGGUCGGAGGAGAAAGGCCUGUGGAAGGUAGCAGCUUUGCUGUGUUAUAGCCACCUGUUGUAUACUUCGACUGGGACUGAGGAUCGCAGCACGCCUUUGGCCGGGGCUUUGCCCACGUACGUGCUUAGGAUGUUGGCAUAAUGGCUUUAAGUGACCCGUCUUGAAACACGGA
rnacentral:rRNA from 1 species